rnacentral:lncRNA from 1 species
AUAAAUGUUGAUACUUUAGGUCUUGAACUGAACCUGUUAAAUUCUCAUGAACCAUGGUUAUUUUUGUGGUUGCAACACUCUUCUUAAAUUGGUUCUUAACCUUGUUCAAUGUUUGGAAUUUCUCUGGAUAAGAUUGCAUUAUUCUCACUAAUCACAUACUUGUUAAGUAGGAAUUGGGCUAAACGCAAAAUGGUUUAGGUCGUGAUAGUUAUGGACUUAUCGCAUCUUUAGGAACAUGAUCAGUACUGUUUUUCUAAGGAUAAGAUCAUGAAAUCUGAAUUGUUGUCCCUAUGAUUGUUUACUUGUAGAUGUUUUGAAAAUUAAAACGUAAAGCUCUUGUGUAUUCAUGUGUUAAUCCAUUUUAAAUUCUCUUAAGGAUUUAAACACAAGGUUAUUAUCCUUCCUCAUUCAUGAGAACUCAUUUGGCUUUUGUGUUUUAAUCUCUUAAGUGUAACACAAUGAACCUUUGUGGACUCUCUACAUUCUAAUAUUAACACAGGGCUGCCCUUUUGAAACUUUGUUGUUGUAUAGAUUCAAGAUUCUUGGUUUUGAAUUACUCACUAAUUCAUGUGACGGUAGUGCCCUGUGUUGGUUAUUUUGGGACAUAGUGUUUACAAAUGCAAAAGACAUAACUUGUUAAAGCU